rnacentral:rRNA from 1 species
GGNGAACGGGUGAGUAACACGUGGGUAACCUGCCCNNCNNCGGGGGAUAACACUUGGAAACAGGUGCUAAUACCGCAUAAUUCCAUUUACCGCAUGGUAGAUGGAUGAAAGGCGCUUUUGCGUCACUGAUGGAUGGACCCGCGGUGCAUUAGCUAGUUGGUGGGGUAACGGCCUACCAAGGCUGCGAUGCAUAGCCGACCUGAGAGGGUGAUCGGCCACACUGGGACUGAGACACGGCCCAGACUCCUACGGGAGGCAGCAGUAGGGAAUCUUCGGCAAUGGACGCAAGUCUGACCGAGCAACGCCGCGUGAGUGAAGAAGGUUUUCGGAUCGUAAAACUCUGUUGUCAGAGAAGAACAAGGAUGAGAGUGGAAAGUUCAUCCCUUGACGGUAUCUAACCAGAAAGCCACGGCUAACUACGUGCCAGCAGCCGCGGUAAUACGUAGGUGGCAAGCGUUGUCCGGAUUUAUUGGGCGUAAAGCGAGCGCAGGCGGUCUUUUAAGUCUGAUGUGAAAGCCCCCGGCUUAACCGGGGAGGGUCAUUGGAAACUGGGAGACUUGAGUGCAGAAGAGGAAAGCGGAAUUCCAUGUGUAGCGGUGAAAUGCGUAGAUAUAUGGAGGAACACCAGU